UCAAUACUCCAUUUUCUACGUGAAGUUGUAAACAAGCAGCGGCCGCUCAGCAUGGGGAAGGUACAUAUUCGCAGUUUCGCACACAAUCUUGCUGCUUGAAAUUAAACUUGAU
rnacentral:lncRNA from 1 species